GACGAACGCUGGCGGCGUGCUUAACACAUGCAAGUCGAACGGAAAGGCCCUGCUUUUGUGCGGUUCUCGAUUGCCGAACGGGUGAGUAACACGUGAGUAACCUGCCCUUGACUUUGGGAUAACUUCACGAAACUGGGGCUAAUACCGGAUAGGAUCUCCUGCUGCAUGGUGGGGGUUGGAAAGUUUCGGCUGUUGGGGAUGGAUUCGCGGCUUAUCAGCUUGUUGGUGGGGUAGUGGCUUACCAAGGCUUAGACGGGUAGGCGGCCUGGGAGGGUGACCGGCGACAAGGGGACUAAGGGAGGGAGCAGUAGGGAACGGGAGGCAGCGGGGGGGAGUAUGACACAGUGAGCGGGCGCGUGAGGCGGCGGCGCUGGGUGCGGAAAGACGGCUUUUGGGGUGUGAACAGCUGUAGCAUGAGACGAAGCGGGAGUGACGGUAACGGAUAAAGAAGCACCGGCUAACUACGUG
rnacentral:rRNA from 1 species